rnacentral:rRNA from 1 species
UACGAAGGGGGCUAGCGUUGCUCGGAAUCACUGGGCGUAAAGCGCACGUAGGCGGCUUCUUAAGUCAGGGGUGAAAUCCUGGAGCUCAACUCCAGAACUGCCCUUGAUACUGAGGAGCUCGAGUCCGGAAGAGGUGAGUGGAACUGCGAGUGUAGAGGUGAAAUUCGUAGAUAUUCGCAAGAACACCAGUGGCGAAGGCGGCCCACUGGUCCGGUACUGACGCUGAGGUGCGAAAGCGUGGGGAGCAAACAGG